AUUGAACGCUGGCGGCAGGCCUAACACAUGCGAGUCGAGCGGAUGAAGGGAGCUUGCUCCUGGAUUCAGCGGCGGACGGGUGAGUAAUGCCUAGGAAUCUGCCUGGUAGUGGGUGAUAACGUCCGGAAACGGGCGCUAAUACCGCAUACGUCCUGAGGGAGAAAGUGGGGGAUCUUCGGACCUCACGCUAUCAGAUGAGCCUAGGUCGGAUUAGCUAGUUGGUGGGGUAAAGGCCUACCAAGGCGACGAUCCGUAACUGGUCUGAGAGGAUGAUCAGUCACACUGGAACUGAGACACGGUCCAGACUCCUACGGGAGGCAGCAGUGGGGAAUAUUGGACAAUGGGCGAAAGCCUGAUCCAGCCAUGCCGCGUGUGUGAAGAAGGUCUUCGGAUUGUAAAGCACUUUAAGUUGGGAGGAAGGGCAGUAAGUUAAUACCUUGCUGUUUUGACGUUACCAACAGAAUAAGCACCGGCUAACUUCGUG
rnacentral:rRNA from 1 species